ACAACCACGCCGCUCAAGAACCCGUCGACCUCCACGCCGUCGCACACGACGUUGCCCACCCGUCUGAGCGCCGCCCUCUGUUUGCCUCCAAUCGCGCAAGCCUCGAUUAGCAAACAGCUCAAUUGCCUCUGAUGCAAUCUUGUGCAAACUCUUUGUGUUUUAUGGAGGCUGAUACACGGCACAAGUCCACAAAGAGUUGGACUCCUCCUGCCCAGUGGCGAAUCUAGGUUGAACAAGUAGAGGGGGCUCAUAUUAACUCUCUUCUUCUUCCUCCCUUCUCUUCCACUUCCUCCUCUCUUUUUCUUCAUUGUUUCAUCCCAAAAAUGGUGGGGGGCUUACGGGGGUAUCCAUGUAUCUUGGGGAGGUAUGGGGCUUGAUCCCCCUAGCCCCCCUUUAGAUCCGCCCUUGCUCCUGCCGACCUUUCCUUCCCUUGUUACAUAAUUUUCCUUUUCUAUUCCGCGACGAGAUGCAUGUCCGCAUGCAACUCCCCAUAGAAACCGUGUGGACCUUCCAGAUGACCGAUAGCCACACCGCACGAAACUGAAUCCUUGACUGGUUUGAUUGAGCAAAAAGAAACUCAAUUGGCAUGCAUGCAACAGCCCCCACAGACAGCCAUGCACGAUCAAAUAAAUUAAUGAAUCCAAAUCCUUGCAUGCAUUCUAAUAACCAUCCAUUGCACGCCUCAAUUUUUGCUCCACUGAUCCUUCAAUCUCGAUUCCUUCGUGCCACGCCCCUGGAGAUAUUCCAGAUUUUUCCAACCUUCGGCUUUGAUACCACUUGUUAGAGUGCACAGCGGAAUCCGGCCCGGCCUGCUAUACCCAUGAGCUGGCGCCCUACCAGGCCUAGGUCCACCGGAGCCCAACCAACCAAGGCCUCAGGCCUAACUCAACCCAAAAGACUUGCCUGAUGGGUGAGGACUGCCCCACCUUAUAUGUUGGGCUCCCCCAUGAUUAAUUUUCGAUGUGGGACUAAAUCUAACAGAUCCUGCAAAGAAGCAGUUCGCUGAGGCGCUGCUUGCUUUUACCGAUGCUUUUAACAUAGCAAUACUCAUCUAUAGUCUCUAAGGAAGAUGUGUCCGACGAAACUGUUGCUGCUCUGGAUAAAAUAGAAGAGGCCUAGGGGAAAUAUAACGACGGACCAUUCCUCCUCGGUCAUUUCAGUCUGGUGGACAUAGCAUAUGUGCCAUUUAUCGGAAGGUUUCAGAUAUUCUUUCAAAACAUUAAGAACUACGACAUCAAAAAGGGCAGACCCAACCUGCAGAAGUUUAUUGAGGUCCAAGGCAGUAUGGCUCAAAAUGGCAGCUGUUCACAUUCUCUUGAGUUUGCUCCAUUAUAACAGGGCUCUAUCUGCCAACAAGUGAUAUUGAUUUUUUUCCAGGGAACAAGGUUACCAUGGAUGAAACGUUAGCACGGGCAAGCUACUAUUUCUUACAAUUGAUCUUUCCUUACUAUCUUGUUUGCUGUAUCUUGUUGCAGUUCUUGGAAGCUUUCUUGCAGGACUGAACAAAAUUAUUGCUGAUCAGUAGUAUCCGAAUACCAUGUGUAUGAGUUCUUUAGGGUGAGCUUUUGUAUCCGAAUACCAGAUGGUGUACAACUAAUUAUCUUGCAUCACUGUAUCGUUAGCACAGGCAAGUAGCUUGCGUAUUUCAUAUAUAUCAUUUGCAUCUUACAAGUUGGCCGAUUACCAUAAGAAAUAUCAACUUUUGGUUUAGUUGGGUGAUUAUAUGAUGUCACCAUAGCGUUAGCACAGGUAAUAAAUUUGCUUUUUCUCUAUAAAUGUGGUUGUGUCAUCAACAUGAUAACUCUAUGUUACAUAUUCUUUGUGUGAAAUAUAUAUUUCUUAUUUUGAACUAUGAAUCAUAUGUUAUUUUUUGUAUGUCUGAAAUGCACCCGUAGCGUUAGCACGGGCUCCUGUUGAAGUGUGGGCUAUGACAAAUAACCCCAUGAUGGUACUACUUUCUUUUCUUAUAUUUAUGCAAUUAUCGACUUGUUCUUCUCAGAAAAUGCAAAGCUUACAACAUUGACGUUACAAGCAGCAAUUGGUUUGUGCUAAAAGCUAUUCUUCAAGAUGAUAAUGGGAAUCAAAAGUUAGUUUAGACCAAAAUAUAAGUUCAACUAUAGUCUGCCAUAAAGAAAACUGCAGUUAUAGUUACUCUUCCAAUGUAACCUGCGAUGUGCUCACUCUGUUUGUCUGAAAAAUAACAAUGCUGGUUGCAUAAAAUGGAGCAGUGCAAUGCAAACACAGCAUCUCAUGUAUAGCUAAUGUCGCUGUAAAUUUCAUGUUCUAGAGGGCUCUUGGGCUUCCUACUAUUCUGGAUGCAUAUUAUGCAUGGCAAAUGAUGAUCUAGGUCUGUCCACAUGCCAACGGGUACUCUCAAGGUUUGUAAGGUGGCUGAAGAACAUCAAGGUGAGGACCUGAACAUCAUGCCGUAGAUGUUGCAAGCUCGAGGAGGACAUUUGUUUUCUGUGGUUCUCUCUCUCUCUUUAACUGAAGGUGAAGAUGAGAGCCCAAGCCUAAAGGUCACCCUUCUCUGGCUUUCAGCUCUAUAGGCUUGUCAGCUUCACAGCUCUUGAUGAUGCAUGAAAACAAUGGCAGCUUCACAGGGGAUUAUAGGCUAUCAGGCUGUUUGGAAAUGUUUAUGCGAACACUUAAAAAUCAGAAUGCAUAUACUCCUGUUUUCUGAAAAUGUGUAGGUUAGUGGAGUGAGAUAUCUUUCUGAAUCUUUAAUUUGUCAAAUUCUUUAUUUGUGACCUCUACAUUGGUACAUCCAUAUCCAUACUAGGUCAAGACACAGACCUAUUUUUCGCAAUAUAGUACGAUGAAA